rnacentral:rRNA from 1 species
UCUUUUUCCACCGAGCCUUGCUCCACCGGAAAAAGAUGAGUGGCGAACGGGUGAGUAACACGUGGGUAACCUGCCCAUCAGAAGGGGAUAACACUUGGAAACAGGUGCUAAUACCGUAUAACAAUCNAAACCGCAUGGUUUUGAUUUGAAAGGCGCUUUCGGGUGUCGCUGAUGGAUGGACCCGCGGUGCAUUAGCUAGUUGGUGAGGUAACGGCUCACCAAGGCCACGAUGCAUAGCCGACCUGAGAGGGUGAUCGGCCACAUUGGGACUGAGACACGGCCCAAACUCCUACGGGAGGCAGCAGUAGGGAAUCUUCGGCAAUGGACGAAAGUCUGACCGAGCAACGCCGCGUGAGUGAAGAAGGUUUUCGGAUCGUAAAACUCUGUUGUUAGAGAAGAACAAGGAUGAGAGUAACUGUUCAUCCCUUGACGGUAUCUAACCAGAAAGCCACGGCUAACUACGUGCCAGCAGCCGCGGUAAUACGUAGGUGGCAAGCGUUGUCCGGAUUUAUUGGGCGUAAAGCGAGCGCAGGCGGUUUCUUAAGUCUGAUGUGAAAGCCCCCGGCUCAACCGGGGAGGGUCAUUGGAAACUGGGAGACUUGAGUGCAGAAGAGGAGAGUGGAAUUCCAUGUGUAGCGGUGAAAUGCGUAGAUAUAUGGAGGAACACCAGUGGCGAAGGCGGCUCUCUGGUCUGUAACUGACGCUGAGGCUCGAAAGCGUGGGGAGCAAACAGGAUUAGAUACCCUGGUAGUCCACGCCGUAAACGAUGAGUGCUAAGUGUUGGAGGGUUUCCGCCCUUCAGUGCUGCAGCUAACGCAUUAAGCACUCCGCCUGGGG